rnacentral:rRNA from 1 species
CGGAGGUGCAAGCGUUAUCCGGAUUCACUGGGUUUAAAGGGUGCGUAGGUGGGCAGUUAAGUCAGUGGUGAAAUCUCCGGGCUCAACCCGGAAACUGCCAUUGAUACUAUCUGUCUUGAAUAUCGUGGAGGUAAGCGGAAUAUGUCAUGUAGCGGUGAAAUGCUUAGAUAUGACAUAGAACACCAAUUGCGAAGGCAGCUUACUACCCGAAUAUUGACACUGAGGCACGAAAGCGUGGGGAUCAAACAGGAUUAGAUACCCUGGUAGUCCACGCCCUAAACGAUGGAUACUCGACAUACGCGAUACACAGUGUGUGUCUGAGCGAAAGCAUUAAGUAUCCCACCUGGGAAGUACGACCGCAAGGUUG